rnacentral:rRNA from 1 species
GUCUACAGUCAUGCCACCCUGAAGAAGCCCGAUCCCAUUUGAUCUCGGAAGCUAAGCCAGGAUCGGGCCUAGUUAGUACUUGGAUGGGAGUCCACUUAGGAAGACCAGGUGCUAUAGGCA